GACGAACGCUGGCGGCGUGCUUAACACAUGCAAGUCGAACGGAAAGGCCCUGCUUUUGUGGGGUGCUCGAGUGGCGAACGGGUGAGUAACACGUGAGUAACCUGCCCUUGACUUUGGGAUAACUUCAGGAAACUGGGGCUAAUACCGGAUAGGAGCUCCUGCCGCAUGGUGGGGGUUGGAAAGUUUCGGCGGUUGGGGAUGGACUCGCGGCUUAUCAGCUUGUUGGUGGGGUAGUGGCUUAGCAAGGCUUUGAAGGGUAGCCGGCCUGAGAGGGUGACCGGCCACGUUGGGACUGAGAUACGGCCCAGCCUCCUACGGGAGGCAGCAGUGGGGAAUAUUGCACUGUGGGCGGAAGCCUGAUGCAGCAACGCCGCGUGCGGGAUGACGGCCAUCGGGUUGUAAACCGCUUUCGCCUGUGCCGAAGCGUGAGUGACGGUAAUGGGUAAAGAAGCACCGGCUAACUACGUG
rnacentral:rRNA from 1 species